CAGUCGAACGAAGACAUACCGACGGAAUCCUUCGGGAGGAAGAUGGUAUGGCCUGUAGUGGCGGACGGGUGAGUAACGCGUGGGUAACCUGCCCUGUACAGGGGGACAACAGUUAGAAAUGACUGCUAAUACCGCAUAAGCGCACAGUACCGCAUGGUACAGUGCGAAAAACUCCGGUGGUACAGGAUGGGCCCGCGUCUGAUUAGUUAGUUGGCGGGGUAACGGCCCACCAAGACGACGAUCAGUAGCCGGCUUGAGAGAGUGAACGGCCACAUUGGGACUGAGACACGGCCCAAACUCCUACGGGAGGCAGCAGUGGGGAAUAUUGCACAAUGGGGGAAACCCUGAUGCAGCAACGCCGCGUGAGUGAAGAAGUAUUUCGGUAUGUAAAGCUCUAUCAGCAGGGAAGAAAAUGACGGUACCUGACUAAGAAGCCCCGGCUAACUACGUGCCAGCAGCCGCGGUAAUACGUAGGGGGCAAGCGUUAUCCGGAUUUACUGGGUGUAAAGGGAGCGCAGGCGGUGCGGCAAGUCAGAUGUGAAAACCCGGGGCUCAACCCCGGGACUGCAUUUGAAACUGUCGGACUAGAGUGCCGGAGAGGUAAGUGGAAUUCCUAGUGUAGCGGUGAAAUGCGUAGAUAUUAGGAGGAACACCAGUGGCGAAGGCGGCUUACUGGACGGCAACUGACGUUGAGGCUCGAAAGCGUGGGGAGCAAACAGGAUUAGAUACCCUGGUAGUCCACGCCGUANACGAUGAAUACUA
rnacentral:rRNA from 1 species